GGCUCAGGACGAACGCUGGCGGCGUGCCUAACACAUGCAAGUCGAGCGGAGUUGACAAGAGGAAGUUUCGGAUGGAAUUUGUAAUUAGCGGCGGACGGGUGAGUAACGCGUGAGCGACCAACCUUGCACAGGGGGAUAACGGACCGAAAGGUUCACUAAUACCGCAUGAGACCACGGUGUUGCAUGACACAGGGGUCAAAGGAGUAAUCCGGUGCAAGACGGGCUCGCGUCCGAUUAGGUAGUUGGAGGGUAACGGCCCACCAAGCCUAUGAUCGGUAGCCGACCUGAGAGGGUGAUCGGCCACAUUGGAACUGAGAUACGGUCCAAACUCCUACGGGAGGCUGCAGUGGGGAAUAUUGGGCAAAUGGGAGAAACCCUGACCCAGCAACGCCGCGUGAAGGAAGAAGGUUUUCGGAUUGUAAACUUCUGUCCUUGGUGAAGAGAAGAAGACGGUAGCCAAGGAGGAAGCCCCGGCUAACUACGUGCCAGCCGCCGC
rnacentral:rRNA from 1 species